rfam:Flavobacterium sp. EM1321 contig00035, whole genome shotgun sequence.
CACAAAGAGGAAAAAUUUGAACUGAUUGCAACCUCUUCAUAAUGACACAAAUUCAUUAUGAUUACUGAAAUUUUCAGUAGAAAAAAAAUGCUAAAGCAGAAACU